rnacentral:rRNA from 1 species
UACGUAGGGCGCGAGCGUUGUCCGGAUUUAUUGGGCGUAAAGAGCUCGUAGGCGGCUUGUCGCGUCGACCGUGAAACCUCACAGCUCAACUGUGAGCCUGCGGUCGAUACGGGCAGGCUAGAGUUCGGUAGGGGAGACUGGAAUUCCUGGUGUAGCGGUGAAAUGCGCAGAUAUCAGGAGGAACACCGGUGGCGAAGGCGGGUCUCUGGGCCGUAACUGACGCUGAGGAGCGAAAGCGUGGGGAGCGAACAGG